GUGGCCCCUGUAACAUAAAGGUGGUGGUGGCUUUAUGGUGAUGCCAGUCCUGAGGGAAGCCUGGAAUCUCACCUCCUGCAGCUGCACCAGGAAACGGCUCCAGGAUAACUCCUGUUUAACUUUUUCUCUGUCCCCACCUUGGAUCUCAGUUCUUGGGUGAAGCUGCGGCAUUCCUGGGGCAUGGAGCCAGCCUGUGGUGUGGUGUGUGAGUCAGUCCUGCUAACCCGAGAGUUCAGAUCCUGUGAGUCAGGUUAAAAACCCAUGACUUUAAAAAUAGUAUGUUGUGGGUUCUGUCUGGGUGUCCUCUGCUAUAGCAGCCUUCAGGGCUUCCAUGUUUAAAGCAGUUUGGUUUUUAGCAUGGGUAAAAACUUUCAAGAAGUGGGAUUUCAUCACUUCAGAAAAAGACUGAAAGUUAAAAGAUCUGUAUGUUUCUCAGUACAAGUCUUGGGACCCAUGCAGAGGUCAGACUUAACCUCCUUUUGCCAUGUAAUUAAGAUUAGCAUCACAUUUAGUACAUCCAGGGGCUGUCUGAUGAGAUGGAGCUCCGUUUCUCAGCACGACAGGCAGAAGCUUUGAAUGAGUUAAUAGAGCUGCUUUGUAUCGAGAUGGAAAUGACUAAGCAUGCUGCAUUCCUGAAGUGUUACUUAUUUUGAUAUAAAAUCUGCUUGUUUGGUACUGCCCAUGUCUUUCAGGCAUCAGCAUGGCAAGAGUUUGGUUCAGAAAAGCUUCAGGUUCAUCCUGGAGUAGAAUGGAAUGGGAGUAGCUGAAGACUCUAGAACGGGUCUUUGCUGCUGUGGUGGCUGCCCCCUCAUGCCUCAGCACUGAGCUGGCAGCUUCCCUGGGCUUCGGGAGACCAGAAACUAUCUUUUCUUUGGCUGCCAGCACAGGAGGCUUGGUGACGAGGAGGUCUCCUGGGUGGUUUGGAGCGGCACGGCUCUCACAAAGGGAGUGAGAGAUUGCUUCAGGACUGCAUGGGCUUGCCAAGGCAGUGAUUUGCGUGUUCUCAUGCCCGUGGUGCAGCAGGAUAAGGUCGUGCUGCCAGGCUGUCCUUGCAGAGCUGACACCCAGGGGCUCUUGGACACCAGUGGGUGCUUUGGAGCCUCACGCCAGCUUGAUGUGUGCAGUACACAGGUGGACGUGGACAAGGCUGGAGAUGGGGUGUUUGUGAGCGCCUUGGCACUUGCCAUGCACCCAACGGGGUCAGUGGACAACAGCUUCUCCCGCUCUGCUGUGCAGACCCUCUCCCGGAGCCACUGCCGCAACAUCAAGCAGAAGAUCUCCCAGUGGGAGGGGAGGACACGAGGGUGCUCCAGCAAUGAGAAACAGCAGCUGAAGGACUUUGGAGUAAAGUAUGAUCCUAGCUGCCACGCUCUACCCAAAGUGAAGCCAGACCAUGCGGAGGAGGGCAGAAGGACUGGGUCCAAAGAUCCAAAGAGCCUGGGCUUGGACUUCAGGGAAGAUGCGUGGGGCUGCUUGCAGACUGAUGACUCUGGUGACCUCAUGUCCUGUGCAUACAGCCUAGCUUCCCAAGCCAAGGAGAAAGGAGAGCUGCAAGCUGGCCUCCUUGACCCAGAGGCAAGACUGCCGCCAGGAAACUUCUACACCUCGCAAGCUCUGUGGAGGAGAGUAGAUCCCCUUCUGCCUGGCAAAGCCCCACCAGUUCCCUUGGACCUUCAGAGGAAGCAAAGGAGCUGUGGCUCCACAGAAAGAGAACUUAAAAUCAAAGGAGCAGAAUCUCUCUGCAGGGCAGAGAGGAGCUUGAAAAACAUUUACUCUGAGGCUGAGGGGCAAGAGGAGGUCCCACGACCUCGUGCUGCUGUCCCACCACCCAAGCCCCGCAGGACUUUCCGCUAUCUUGCAGAAAAGGGUGCUGGAAGCUGUAGUGAUGCCAGUGCUACCAGGGAAGCUCCCCUGCAAAAGCAGCACGGAGCAGACUCGGUGUCAUCCUCCAACAAUCCUGAGAAGAGAAUAGCCAGCAGGAGGAUCAGAGGGAGAACCCAGAGGAAAUCUUUUGAGUUUGAGGACAUCCAGGGCUUCCGCAACCGGAUGGCAACCACCAAGUCCCACAGGCUUCAAGAAGAGGCAAAUGGCACUACAGGAUCCAGGCUUGUCUACACACAGUCAGAAGACAACAUCUACGAGGACAUUAUCUGUCCUGCAAAAGAGAACCCAUAUGAAGAUAUCAGAGCGCUGCCCUUACCCCUCUGGAAGGUCCCAUCUGUCUGGAAGCUGCCGCCCCCCCGGAGCACCAGUAGAGCUCCCAAGCCUCCCCCAAAACCUCCCUUCCUCAGUCGCAAGACUCUUGAGCCAAAGCCCUCCCAGUCAAAUUUCCGAGGGAAAAUGGUGAAGGACACAACCCUGCCUGUCACACUGUCUGAGUGGAAGCUGUUCCGAGCAGUAGAGGCUGCUAGCAGGAGAAAGAGCUUACCCUGGCUGGUACUAAAAAUCCAGGAGAUCUUUGAUUCUAAGCGUGGAAAGAAGAGGGUGAAGUUGCUCAGUCCUGCUGGGAGAGAAGCACCUCCAGUGAAAGGUGAAACCAGUGGGAAUGAAAGUGAUACGGAAAAUCAGCCAAAAAGUCGACACAGGUGCCUGCUGAGGUCAGCCUCCAAGAGGAACCCGCACUACCAGACUUUGGAGAGGGAUCUGAUAGAGCUUCAGGAGCAGCGGCUGUUUGAGCUGUUUGUGGUGGUGUCGCUGCACAAGAAGGCAUCUGAGAUGACCUACACACCACAGAUCAUACAGCAGUUUCCCAGCAAGACUGAACAUCCCUUCAGACAGUCAAAGGAUACUGAAGAGAGGCUAAAGGUCAUUCCCAAAUUCUGCUUUCCGGAUCCCAAAGACUGGUCUCCUGCAUCAGACCUUAAAAGUGAAACAUUUUCUUUCGUGUUGACGGGUGAGGAUGGCAGCCGCUGGUUUGGGUACUGCAAGAAGCUCCUGCCAGAAGGGAAAGGGAAGCGCCUUCCUGAGGUGUACUGCAUCGUUAGCCGCCUGGGCUGCUUCAACCUCUUCUCCAAGAUUUUAGACGAAGUAGAGAAGAGGCGAGAGAUGUCCCCAGCCCUGGUGCACCCGUUCAUGCGCAGUGUCAUGGAGGCGCCUUUCCCUGCUCCUGGACGCACAAUUACUGUGAGGAGUUUCCUGCCAGGAGCAGGAAAUGAGGUGCUGGAGCUCUGCCGCCCGCUGGAUUCCCGACUGGAACAUGUUGACUUCGAAUGCCUCUUUAAGUGUCUCAGUGUGUCUCACACGAUUCGUGUCUUUGCAUCUCUCCUGCUGGAAAGGAGGGUGAUCUUUGUCGCUGACAACUUAAGCACUCUGUCUAAAUGUGGCCAUGCCGCAGUUGCAACGCUUUAUCCCUUCACUUGGCAACACACCUACAUACCAGUCCUGCCAGCUUCUAUGAUUGAUAUUGUGUGCUCUCCGACCCCAUUCCUAAUUGGCAUUCUCUCCUGCUCGUUACCACAGCUCCAGGACCUGCCCAUAGAAGAGGUGCUGAUUGUCGAUCUUUGUGCUGACAAGUUCUUGCAAGAGCCUGCAACUGGAGAAAGGUGUCAGAUGAAGACGAGAUCCUGCCCCAUAAACUCCAGGCAGCUCUUGUCCAAGUCUUGGAAGAACGAAGUGAAAUCUUGUGUCAUCAGCAGAGUGACACACAAGGUGACUUGCCCCUGAACUCCCUGGUCUCUGAGGCUUUUGUGCAGUUCUUUGUGGAGAUCGUUGGACACUAUUCCCUGCACAUGAACGUCACGGAGAGAGGGGAGCGCGUGUUCCAGCGGGAGCUGUUCCGCAAGUCUCACGUCUCGCGCAAUGUGCGGCACUUCCUGCACUUCUUCAUGGAAACACAGAUGUUUGCAGGCUUCAUCCAGGACCGAGAGCUGAGAAAGAACCCGGUCAAAGGCCUGUUUGAGGUCCGUGCUUUGGAGUAUUUGGAGAGUAUUCCAGGGACUGAACCGACUGGAAUGAACAAAAUCCUUCGCAGUCUUGGCAGUAAAAUGAAGUUUCUCCAGAAGCGAUGAGCAGGCGCUGCUGCUGCUGCGGGCCAGCGGCGGCCGGGACUGCCGCCUGCCCUGCGGCCGGAGCCGGGCUCCUCUGUGGCUGCAGGAGGCUGGGGCCGGGCGCGGCUCCCGCCUUAUUAAACCAUUAAUUCAGCGUCACUGAA